rnacentral:rRNA from 1 species
GCGGCGUGGAUAAGACAUGCAAGUCGAACGCUGAUCACCGGGUAGCAAUAUUUGGUGGUUGGAGUGGCGCAAGGGUGCUUAACACGUGGGCAAUUUGCCGUGAAGUUUGGGAUAACCCCGAGAAAUCGGGGCUAAUACCGCAUGUGACCUUUGGUGGGCAUCCACUGGAGUUCAAAGCUGGGGAUCUCGCUUGCGAGACCUGGCGCCUUACGAUAAGCCCGCGGCCUAUCAGCUAGUUGGCGGGGUAACGGCCCACCAAGGCUAGGACGGGUAGCUGGUCUGAGAGGACGACCAGCCACACUGGAACUGAGACACGGUCCAGACACCUACGGGUGGCAGCAGUCGAGAAUUUUUCUCAAUGGGGGAAACCCUGAAGGAGCGACGCCGCGUGGGGGAUGAAUGGCUUCGGCCCGUAAACCCCCGUCAUUCGGGACCAAAUGUUGUUCAUGAACAAUGGGCAGCUUGAUUGUACCGGAAGAGGAAGGGACGGCUAACUCUGUGCCAGCAGCCGCGGUAAUACAGAGGUCCCAAGCGUUGUUCGGAUUUACUGGGCGUAAAGGGUGCGUAGGCGGUGGGGUAAGUUUGAGGUGAAAGCUCCGGGCUCAACCCGGAAACUGCCUUGAAUACUAUCCUACUAGAGGGUUGGAGGGGAGACUGGAAUUCUCGGUGUAGCAGUGAAAUGCGUAGAUCUCGAGAGGAACACCAGUGGCGAAGGCGAGUCUCUGGACAACACCUGACGCUGAGGCACGAAAGCCAGGGGAGCAAACGGGAUUAGAUACCCCGGUAGUCCUGGCCCUAAACGGUGCGUACUUGCUGUAACGGGAUUCGACCCCGCUUGUGGCGAAGUUAACACGAUAAGUGCGCCGCCUGGGAAGUACGGUCGCAAGAUUAAAACUCAAAGAAAUUGACGGGGGCCUGCACAAGCGGUGGAGUAUGUGGCUUAAUUCGAUGCAACGCGAAGAACCUUACCUGGUCUUGACAUGCAUCCUGUCGUCGGUG